CCUACGGGUGGCAGCAGUGGGGAAUAUUGGGCAAUGGAGGAAACUCUGACCCAGCAAUGCCGCGUGAGUGAAGAAGGUCUUCGGAAUGUAAAGUUCUUUAGUCAGGGAAGAAGUCAAUGACGGUACCUGAAGAAUAAGCUCCGGCUAACUACGUGCAAGCAGCGGCGGGAAUACGUAGGGAGCAAGCGUUGUUCGGAAUGACUGGGCGUAAAGGGUGCGUAGGCGGUUGUACAAGUCAGAAGGGAAAUACCCAGGGCUUAACUCGGGGGGUGCUUCUAAAACUGGAUGACUUGAGUGGAGGAGAGGUUAGUGGAAGUCGUGGUGUAGCGGUGGAAUGCGUAGAUAUUGGGCGGAACCCC
rnacentral:rRNA from 1 species